rnacentral:lncRNA from 1 species
CGCACUCUGGCAAACAUGGGCUCUACGAGUUUGCUAUAUAUACGCAGCGCAAUCAGUUGCGAGGCAGCACUCGUUCCAUGUGGGCGCUCGACAAUCGCCCGCUGAUCAGUUUUCGACUGGCUUGCAAUUAAUUCGGCUCUUGACGAGCCCCAAAAGUGAAAGUCGCGAGUGAAAGACGUGGCAGUUUUAUAUUAAAGAAAAAUACGAAAACGGGCAGCAGAUCAAACAUGAACAGUACGCAAAACACGAAAUGCGAAACGGCGGCAACAAGUUAAUAAAUUAAGACGGCAAACGAAAAAAUCCAGAUUCCGAGCACUGCAAAGAAAGUGGCACAAAUGCUUUGCUUUUAUCGUAGGAAAUUCGCAAAAAAUGUACAAAUAAAACGAAAGAAAAGUUGCCACUAUCAAAU